GAUCCUGGACCAUCCCACAGAUGCUCAAUCAGAUCUGGAUGUGGGGAGUGUGGAACCCAGAUGCACAAUGAGGGACGUCUGCAGAGACUGAGAAAGAGUCUCACCACAUCCUGACAUGAGGAAAAAGACUUUAUUGAAGACUACAAUGAGAAAAACUAUCAGACAGCAGACGGCUGCAUUCAAGUCUGUAGCUGCUGAAUUCAUGGAUGAAUCAUCUGGCACUAGAGAAGAAGACCAUCAAACAUCCACGUCAGCUGAUGGAGGUCCAAGAGUCUCACCAAACAACCUACAGAGUGAAGACCUCAAAUCUGAUUGGACGGCCUCCUAUUCAGCCACAUGUGUGAACAAAUGCCUCUAAGCUGAUUUGUUUUCUAAAAUAAAUCUAGUUUGAGUCCUAAUCUAUGCCUGUGUGUUUGCUUCUUUACACUGCUGUUAACAGUUUAGGCUGUUAGAUUGUUCCAGAUAAGACAAGUACAAGAUACUUCAGAGCCGUUCUACCACGAGCCUGACAGGAAGAACUCCAACAGCUACUGAAUGUUCCUGUGGUCCCCUCAAGGCUACAGGAGGAGCCCUAUGAGGACGAGCCGGUCCACCUGAUGGUGGCCAGUUGCUGCGGUUCA
ensembl:lncRNA